rnacentral:rRNA from 1 species
GUAGUUAGCCGUGGCUUCCUCCCCGGAUACCGUCAUUAUCGUCCCCGAGGACAGAGGUUUACAAUCCGAAAACCUUCUUCCCUCACGCGGCAUUGCUGGGUCAGGGUUGCCCCCAUUGCCCAAUAUUCCCCACUGCUGCCUCCCGUAGGAGUCUGGACCGUGUCUCAGUUCCAGUGUGGCCGAUCAGCCUCUCAGCUCGGCUACCCAUCGCAGGCUUGGUGGGCUGUUAUCUCACCAACUACCUAAUGGGACGCGAACCCCUCCUUCAGCGGAUUGCUCCUUUGACCUCAUCCCGAUGCCGGGUCGUGGUCUUAUGCGGUAUUAGCACUUGUUUCCAGGUGUUAUCCCCCUCUGAAGGUCAGGUUGUUCACGCGUUACUCACCCGUUCGCCACUAAAAUUUAUCUUCCAUCCGAAAACUUCUGAUAAAUCUCCGUUCGACUUGCAUGUGUUAGGCACGCCGCCAGCGUUCGUCCUGAGCCAGAAUCAAACUACUGA